rnacentral:lncRNA from 10 species
ACUGUAUCCUUCGCUUGGUCUUUAGGCAGCACCACACCUUGAUCAUUCCAGCCAGAAGGGAGGUAAUCAUAUUUUUAAAAAGCUGCUUGGAGAAGGAUUAUUUACAACGAUAAUAAAUCCCAUUUCUAUAUAUACCUAUAUUCCGAAAACAACAGCAAAGGCACUGCAAAAUUAAACCCCAAAAUACAAACUGAAGAGCAGAAAUAUGCAAAGCCUUGAGCCUAGCUCACACCGCUUCUGUGCAAAUUAGAAAAAGGUGGCCCCCCAGGUUGAAGGAAUUAGGAAAAAGCACCCACUUGGGGCAGCAGCUGCUGACAGCCAUGUUUGGGGGCCUGGUGAGUAAGCAAAUGGGCUGGAUCUCCACUCACCCCCCUGCCCUGCCCUCCAGCCCUUCCCCUAACCACCUCCACCCCUGCUUUUGUGCAGAGAACAAAUUCCAGGACCUUGUGCAGUGGCGUGAGAAGAAGGACAUGGAACUUUUUAUGACUCCCCCUCCCCAUUUUCCUGGUAAAAUCUUUUUUUCCCUACUUUUGACCCUGUUGUUCCUUAUUGCUAACACUUGGAAACACUGAUUUUUUUUUUAAUUUGUCACGCUGUACUAACAGUUGCAGGCUGGCAGUUCAUGUGUUUUUAUCCAACCAGGUACCCAGCAGGUGCUCGAGAACCAUUACAAAAAGAACGAAUAACUCUCUCAGAGGGAAUGAGCACAGCCUCCAGUUCUAACGUCUAAUGCUGUCCUUGCUUUAAACUGAAAGGAAGAGUGUGAUCUCACCUCUCCUGGGGAAAAACAACAGACCUGUAGACAAGUUGCUCUGCAGAGCAAAAUUCCAGGCAGAAAAGGGGCAUCCUUGAGCACACGGGUUUCUGCAGCCAUGAGAUCUGGGCCCCGCGCUGGCGCUAUCACCCUUGCACUUGCCUCUUGUUUAGGUGCCUUUCCAGAGCGUUCUCCCUCACCUAGUAGCACAUUAGAGGGACCAUCAAGAAGGGGAGCAUCAUUUCUUACCCCUCAGAGCCCUCUCACAGACAAGGAAGGGGCUGCCCUUCCAGGGCUGGGGGCACAGCCCCAUUUCCUCUUAGGGAGAAGAUCAGAUUCACAGCACAGCCACCAAAACCACUUCCCCAGGGCAGACUUUCCCAGCCUGGCCCCAGCCUGGCCCUAACCUGGCAUUCUCGGCAUCCCAACAAGCCAGAGACAGCUGCCCUGUGAACCCCAUCACUGAUAGGAGAGGCCAAGCAGGAGGUCAGAAACAGAAAGUCCGGGGGCCAGUUCACUCAGUCCACAUGGUGUCUUUUGUUGUUGUUAGCUGUUAAUAUUUAAUGGCCUGAUCCCAUUUAUAUGAAA